UCUGGCCGAAGGUCAACCAUCAAGCCGAGUUCAAGCGCAUGGUGUUCACUGGAGUGAUGCCGCCUGGUGCGCCUAGAAGCCAAGCCGGCCAGCAUACUUAAACGAGAGGAAACUUGGUUUUUGACAGCAUGUGUGGUGUCGUGGAAGCAACGGAUUCGGCGUGUCACCUUUUGUCUGGAGACGGGAAGCUCUACAGAGGCACCUUCUAGGCGUGCGUGCUACGAAACAGCUUUCGCGACGCUCCACUGUGGCCCAGAGUUGCCAGCACUUCAUCUUCCCGUACGAGCGCCGGGCGCUACAUGAACUCUGCAAUUCUGUGGCUCACGAGUGCAGA